rnacentral:tRNA from 1 species
GGGGAUAUAGCUCAGUUAAUUGGUACAGUGCUUGCCUCCCAGGCAAAAGGACCUGGGUUCAAUCCCCAGCACCCCCC